rnacentral:rRNA from 1 species
CCUACGGGAGGCUGCAGUGGGGAAUAUUGGUCAAUGGGCGCGAGCCUGAACCAGCCACGUAGCGUGAAGGAUGACUGCCCUACGGGUUGUAAACUUCUUUUAUAAAGGCAUAAAGUGAGGCACGUGUGCCUUUUUGUAUGUACUUUAUGAAUACGGAUCGGCUAACUCCGUGCCAGCCGCCGCGGUAAUACGGAGGUUCCGAGCGUUAUCCGGAUUUAUUGGGUUUAAGGGGGGCGUAGAUGGGUUGGUAAGUCAGUUGUGAAAGUGUGCGGCUCAACCGUAAAAUUGCAAUUGAUACUGGCAGUCUUGAGUACAGUUGAGGUAGGCGGAAUUCCUGGUGUAGCGGUGAAAUGCGUAGAUAUCACGAAGAACUCCGAUUGCGAAGGCAGCUUACUAGACUGCCACUGACAUUGAUGCUCGAAAGUGUGGGUAGCAAACAGGAUUAGAUACCCGUGUAGUC